AGUUUGAAACUUGUAAGUGAAAUUCACCCUAUCUUCCAGCUGCAAUGUAUUUUUUUCAGUUUUAUCAAUAAAAUGUAGAUUUCUACAAAUUACAA